AGUCGAGCGGUAGAGAGAAGCUUGCUUCUCUUGAGAGCGGCGGACGGGUGAGUAAUGCCUAGGAAUCUGCCUGGUAGUGGGGGAUAACGUUCGGAAACGGACGCUAAUACCGCAUACGUCCUACGGGAGAAAGCAGGGGACCUUCGGGCCUUGCGCUAUCAGAUGAGCCUAGGUCGGAUUAGCUAGUUGGUGAGGUAAUGGCUCACCAAGGCGACGAUCCGUAACUGGUCUGAGAGGAUGAUCAGUCACACUGGAACUGAGACACGGUCCAGACUCCUACGGGAGGCAGCAGUGGGGAAUAUUGGACAAUGGGCGAAAGCCUGAUCCAGCCAUGCCGCGUGUGUGAAGAAGGUCUUCGGAUUGUAAAGCACUUUAAGUUGGGA
rnacentral:rRNA from 1 species